GUCUAUGUUCAUACCUCCCUUAACACACCUGAUCUCAGAAGGUAAACAGGGUUAGACUUGGUUAAUACUUGGAUGUAAGAAAUUAUGAAAGGAAUCUCAAAAUAUUAAGA
rnacentral:rRNA from 1 species